rnacentral:rRNA from 1 species
AACGAACGCUGGCGGCAGGCUUAACACAUGCAAGUCGAACGCCCCGCAAGGGGAGUGGCAGACGGGUGAGUAACGCGUGGGAAUCUACCCAGAUCUUCGGAACAACUGAGGGAAACUUCAGCUAAUACCGGAUACGCCCUACGGGGGAAAGAUUUAUCGGUUCUGGAUGAGCCCGCGUUGGAUUAGCUAGUUGGUGAGGUAACGGCUCACCAAGGCGACGAUCCAUAGCUGGUCUGAGAGGAUGAUCAGCCACACUGGGACUGAGACACGGCCCAGACUCCUACGGGAGGCAGCAGUGGGGAAUAUUGGACAAUGGGCGAAAGCCUGAUCCAGCCAUGCCGCGUGAGUGAUGAAGGCCUUAGGGUUGUAAAGCUCUUUCAGUGGGGAAGAUAAUGACGGUACCCACAGAAGAAGCCCCGGCUAACUUCGUGCCAGCAGCCGCCGCCGUAA